rnacentral:rRNA from 1 species
CUCCGGUUGAUCCCGCCGGACCCGACUGCUAUCAGAGUGGGACUAAGCCAUGCGAGUCAACAUAGCAAUAUGUGGCAUACGGCUCAGUAACACGUAGUCAACAUGCCCAGGGGACGUGGAUAACCUCGGGAAACUGAGGAUAAACCGCGAUAAGUCACUACUUCUGGAAUGGGUAAUGACUCAAAUCUACAUGGCCCCUGGAUUGGACUGCGGCCAAUCAGGCUGUUGGUGAGGUAAUGGCCCACCAAACCUGUAACCGGUACGGGCUCUGAGAGGAGGAGCCCGGAGAUGGGCACUGAGACAAGGGCCCAGGCCCUAUGGGGCGCAGCAGGCGCGAAACCUCUGCAAUAGGCGAAAGCCUGACAGGGUUACCCUGAGUGAUUUCCGUUAAGGAGAUCUUUUGGCACCUCUAAAAAUGGUGCAGAAUAAGGGGUGGGCAAGUCUGGUGUCAGCCGCCGCGGUAAUACCAGCACCCCGAGUGGUCGGGACGUUUAUUGGGCCUAAAGCAUCCGUAGCCGGUUCCACAAGUCUUCCGUUAAAUCCACCUGCUUAACAGAUGGGCUGCGGAAGAUACUAUAGAGCUAGGAGGCGGGAGAGGCAAGCGGUACUCGAUGGGUAGGGGUAAAAUCCGUUGAUCCAUUGAAGACCACCAGUGGCGAAGGCGGCUUGCCAGAACGCGCUCGACGGUGAGGGAUGAAAGCUGGGGGAGCAAACCGGAUUAGAUACCCGGGUAGUCCCAGCUGUAAACGAUGCAGACUCGGUGAUGAGUUGGCUUCUUGCCAACUCAGUGCCGCAGGGAAGCCGUUAAGUCUGCCGCCUGGGGAGUACGGUCGCAAGACUGAAACUUAAAGGAAUUGGCGGGGGAGCA